AUCUUUAAUAGUUUAUAAAAAAUAUUAAAUUGCAAAUUUAAAGAAUUUUUAAAAUAAGAAAAUUAAGAUU
rnacentral:tRNA from 1 species